GUGAGGAAUAUUGGUCAAUGGGCGGGAGCCUGAACCAGCCAAGUCGCGUGAAGGAAGAAGGAUCUAUGGUUCGUAAACUUCUUUUGCAGGGGAAUAAAGUGCAGGACGUGUCCUGUUUUGUAUGUACCCUGAGAAUAAGGACCGGCUAACUCCGUGCCAGCAGCCGCGGUAAUACGGAGGAUCCGAGCGUUAUCCGGAUUUAUUGGGUUUAAAGGGUGCGUAGGUGGUUUGAUAAGUCAGCGGUGAAAGUUUGCAGCUUAACUGUAAAAAUGCCGUUGAAACUGUCGGACUUGAGUGUAAAUGAGGUAGGCGGAAUGCGUGGUGUAGCGGUGAAAUGCAUAGAUAUCACGCAGAACUCCGAUUGCGAAGGCAGCUUACUAAGCUACAACUGACACUGAAGCACGAAAGCGUGGGGAUCAAACAGGAUUAGAAACCCUAGUAGUCC
rnacentral:rRNA from 1 species